ACCAAUUACCCCUACCCACUUGUUCCCGCCAGUGAAUGUGCUAAUCAUGUUUUAGAGUUGUUAUUUGAUUUUCCCGCGGUGUGUGAUGAUUUGCUAAGAGAUGCUAUGAUGUAUGUGGGGGUCCCUGCCUUCCCCAAAGAGUGUAUAAAACUGCUGCAAACCCUGGGCUCGGGGCCUCUCAGCGUCACCAGUUGCUGUGUGCGCG
rnacentral:lncRNA from 1 species